rnacentral:rRNA from 1 species
AUACGGAGGGUCCAAGCGUUAUCCGGAUUCAUUGGGUUUAAAGGGUCCGCAGGCGGGAAAAUAAGUCAGUGGUGAAAGCCUACAGCUCAACCGUAGAACUGCCAUUGAAACUGUUUUUCUUGAGUAUAGAUGAAGUGGGCGGAAUAUAUCAUGUAGCGGUGAAAUGCAUAGAUAUGAUAUAGAACACCGAUUGCGAAGGCAGCUCACUAAACUAUUACUGACGCUCAGGGGCGAAAGCGUGGGGAGCGAACAGGAUUAGAUACCCCGGUAGUCC